rnacentral:rRNA from 1 species
GAUGAACGCUGGCGGCGUGCCUAAUACAUGCAAGUCGAGCGAAUGGAUUAAGAGCUUGCUCUUAUGAAGUUAGCGGCGGACGGGUGAGUAACACGUGGGUAACCUGCCCAUAAGACUGGGAUAACUCCGGGAAACCGGGGCUAAUACCGGAUAACAUUUUGAACCGCAUGGUUCGAAAUUGAAAGGCGGCUUCGGCUGUCACUUAUGGAUGGACCCGCGUCGCAUUAGGUAGUUGGUGAGGUAACGGCUCACCAAGGCAACGAUGCGUAGCCGACCGGGGAGGGUGAUCGGCAACACUGGGACUGAGACACGGCCCAGACUCCUACGGGAGGCAGCAGUAGGGAAUCUUCCGCAAUGGACGAAAGUCUGACGGAGCAACGCCGCGUGAGUGAUGAAGGCUUCCGGGUCGUAAAACUCUGUUGUUAGGGAAGAACAAGUGCUAGUUGAAUAAGCUGACACCUUGACGGUACCUAACCAGAAAGCCACGGCUAACUACGUGCCAGCCGCCGCCGUAA